GACGAACGCUGGCGGCGUGCUUAACACAUGCAAGUCGAACGAUGAACCGGAGCUUGCUCUGGGGAUUAGUGGCGAACGGGUGAGUAACACGUGGGCAACCUGCCCCAGACACCGGGAUAACCAUUCUAAAGGAUGGCUAAUACCGGAUACGACCACUUCGGGCAUCCGAUGGUGGUGGAAAGGAUUCUGGUCUGGGAUGGGCCCGCGGCCUAUCAGCUUGUUGGUGGGGUAAUGGCCUACCAAGGCGACGACGGGUAGCCGGCCUGAGAGGGCGACCGGACACACUGGGACUGAGACACGGUCCAGACUCCUACGGGAGGCAGCAGUGGGGAAUAUUGCGCAAUGGGCGAAAGCCUGACGCAGCGACGCCGCGUGAGGGACGGAGGUCUUCGGAUUGUAAACCUCUUUCAGCAGGGAUGAAGCGAAAGUGACAGUACCUGCAGAAGAAGCACCGGCUAACUACGUGCCAGCAGCCGCCGUAA
rnacentral:rRNA from 1 species